rnacentral:ncRNA from 1 species
GAAAGCCGUAUUCGACGAAAGUCGUAUGUACGGCUUGGGGGGAGGUUUCCAAAUCGUCAAUUAAUUUAUAUGCCCAUCAAGGAACUUGUUUACUUAUUUCUUUUAUUCCAAU